UAAAGGUUUAUUAACGCUAAACAAAGCUUGUUUAGCUUUUAGCUCUUCUGAAUAGCCACCCACAUCUAAUAAAGAGGUCUGCAGGUCUUGCAUUAGCUGAUUGGUGAAGCAGUUUAGUGUAUGAAAAGCUGAGAGAGAGAUUAAUGACGGGGUAUCACCUUCCUUUACUGACUCUCAACAGACUGACAACUUACAAGAGCUGACUGAUGAUCGGGGCUUUCAAGUUGGUGUUAAAUGGUUCAUCUAUAGCGUUUAUGUUCGGGAGUUAAAGUGGGCUGGAAGCUGCUGGUGACCGUAGGACGUGCUUGCAGUACUUUAGCAUCUAGCUAGCUCUACUGAAGAGGAGGGAGCAUGAAGCUAGUAACAUUUUUUAAGUGGCAGGGAGAGAAAAGAGUGAGACAGAUGUAGGAAGACAGACACACAGGGGAGGAAGUAAAGCGAUUAUAUAUAAAGAUGUUGUUGUGAAAGAAUCUUUGCUUUUCCUAUUGUGGGCAAAUUAAAUUACAACAGGAGAAACAAAAGCUUUGAUGUUGUUGGACACAACCUGUGGAGGAGAUGUGAUGCACUUCUGUAGACUCUUGGACUUCAAGAACAUCAUCAAUGAACCAUCCUGUGCACUGUCACAGCAAAUCAGAUGCAUCUUGUGUGUGUUAUCUCACCAGCCUGUUUGAGCCACAUCUUUGAUCUGGUUCAAUAAACGCGGGUUGAAAAGAACAGGUCCUGGCUCUGGCUCAGGUCUCAUGGUGAAGAGAAGCCAUGUGAUUACUGUCCAGUGCCACAGAAAGAUUUGCAGAAGCAAAGGUAAUCAUUACAAAUAAGGGUUUAUUUCAGAACAGACUGAAUUUCUUUAAAAUAACUAAAUAAAUAACAUGUUUCAUUCAUUUUCUUUGUUGUUGAUGAUCAUGAUCUAUCUUUGGCUUUCACUGAAAGUGGAAAAGCAGAUUAAAAAC